GGAAUCUUCGGCAAUGGACGAAAGUCUGACCGAGCAACGCCGCGUGAGUGAAGAAGGUUUUCGGAUCGUAAAACUCUGUUGGUAGAGAAGAACGUUGGUGAGAGUGGAAAGCUCAUCAAGUGACGGUAACUACCCAGAAAGGGACGGCUAACUACGUGCCCGG
rnacentral:rRNA from 1 species